rnacentral:lncRNA from 1 species
UCAGAUCCGCCGAGUAUGGAGCGCUCGGCUUUUCUUUUGUGUGAGGAGCACCCACGACGCCCCGACCAUGGGCGCAGGGGCAGAGGCGAAGGUCGUCGCUCCGUCCGCUACCCCGUCCCCCAGCCGCAGGCGCCGAGGAGCCGGAAGAGAGGCGGAAAGGGCAGCAGGCUCCUUACCCAGACCAGCGAGGGGAGGUCAGCUCGUCGCGGGGUGUGGCUCCCGUCCGGGGACCCCCGAGCUCAUUACGGGUGGCCGUGUGUAGCCAAGUUCAAGCUCUCCCUCCGGGAAUGCCUGCCGCGGCGGCGGAACACGGCUUCUUCAGGACAUUCAGCAAAGCGGGGAGGCGGGGACCUGCGGGCGGAGGAGCGACGCCCCAGCUGGGAACGCGGCGGACGGGCGAGCGGGGGGUGUGCCCUGGGCGCGCCAGGCCGCGGAGGCUCCGGGGAAAGUUCUCUUGGCCGCGCGAGUGGUGGCGCCCCGGGCGGGAGCAGCCCAGGUGCAUGUGGGCCCGGUCCAGGCGUCUGCAAAAAGCCCUGGAACGAAGCGGACCCCCCAGUCCAGCGCUGGCCGCGGCAGGGGAGCCCCUUCUGGGCGGGGUAUCAGCUGGGGGCGGAGGGCGGGGCAGAGACCGUGGUCCCAGCGGCGAGGUGCCGGCGAGUCCACGCUGCCAAGCCGCACGCUGCGCCCAAGCCGCGGGGCAGUCUAGCGCUCGCUGCUUCCCGAGAGAAGCUCGCCUUCCCCCGAGAGACCUGGAGGCUGAGUGGGGAGAAGAGGACGCGGUGCUGCUCGGACCCCACCGUUCGGCGGUCCCAAUCCCACGCCCUCCGCGCGGUCGGCCGCGUCCAGGACUAAGGGGCACAAUAGCUCUGAAGCUGCAGUGACCCCUGGUGGGUCCCGAUGUCCGUGCACAGGCAGCCGAGGUUGAGCUGCGGACGACACUGAGCCCCGCUGGGCUUCGGAGCAGGUGCAAUCUGUGCUCUCCAGCUGGGAACCAGCAGCGAGUUAAUGCGAGUCGCAGUUAGGGGAGACACGAGGGGAGGUGUCACAGAAAAAAAACUGUAUAUUGAGUUUUAGAGUUAGAGCUUUGGCAUCAGACGUAGUUUUGAGUUGACUAUUCUACUGCUUGUUAGCUGGGUAGCCAAAGCUCAAAAAAAUUGUGUAAAACCUAGGACGUUAGCCCUUAAAACAAAACCAGGCUUCCGUAGCACAGUAGAAAUGAAAUGAACAAUUGGCGACUUUUGAUGGAGUUUCCUCUCAUAGUGAUUUGCCACAAAGGACCUUCUGUAGGAAGCCUCGGCCUUCCCUGCUAUUGUGACCCCAUCCAAACACAGGAUCAGCAUAACCGCCAAAGUGCAAUAUAAAUUUCUGAACUUUACCUAGGCUAUGAAUAAAACUAUUUUAUCUUCUGAA